rnacentral:rRNA from 1 species
GAUUAGAGUUUGAUCCUGGUCAGGAUUAACGCUGGCGGCGUGCCUAACCAUGCAAGUCGAAUGUCCUUCGGGGCAUGGCGGACGGCCGAGUAACACGUUGGUACUUGCCCUAGACUCAGGGAUAAUCCCCGGAAACGGGGGGUAAUACCUGAUAGUUCUCUUCGGAGUAAAGCUUUUGCGGUCUAGGAGAGGCCUGCGCGGGAUUAGCUUGUUGGUGAGGUAAUGGCUCACCAAGGCAACGAUCUCUAGGUGGUCUGAGAGGAUGAUCAUCCAGACUGGGACUGAGACACGGCCCAGACUCCUACGGGAGGCAGCAGUGAGGAAUCUUGCACAAUGGGGGAAACCCUGAUGCAGCAACGCCGCGUGGAGGAAGACGGCCUUCGGGUUGUAAACUCCUUUUAUUUGGGACGAACAUUGACGGUACCAAAUGAAUAAGAGGUGGCUAACUAUGUGCCAGCAGCCGCGGUAAUACAUAGACCUCAAGCGUUAUCCGGAUUUACUGGGCGUAAAGCGUGCGUAGGCGUCUUGUUAAGUCUCCGGUGAAAUCCCUCGGCUCAACUGAGGAAUGGUCGGAGAAACUGGCGGGAUUGAGUGUGACAGAGGCAGACGGAAUUCCUGGUGUAGCGGUAAAAUGCGUUGAUAUCAGGAGGAACACCAAUGGCGAAGGCAGUCUGCUGGGUCAUUACUGACGCUGAGGUACGAAAGCGUGGGUAGCGAACGGGAUUAGAUACCCCGGUAGUCCACGCCGUAAACGGUGGGUGCUAGGCAUUCGGGGAUUAGACCCCCUGGGUGUCGAAGCUAACGCGUUAAGCACCCCGCCUGGGGAGUACGAGCGCAAGCUUAAAACUCAAAGGAAUUGACGGGGACCCGCACAAGCGGUGGAGCGUGUGGUUUAAUUCGACGCUAAGCGAAGAACCUUACCCAGGCUUGACAUCUAGCUGCAAGCCCCUGGAAACAGGGGCCUCCUUCGAGGGUGCUAGACAGGUGCUGCAUGGUCGUCGUCAGCUCGUGUCGUGAGAUGUUGGGUUAAGUCCCGCAACGAGCGCAACCCA